AUUGAACGCUGGCGGCAGGCCUAACACAUGCAAGUCGAACGAGUGGCGGACGGGGGAGUAAUGUCUGGGAAACUGCCUGAUGGAGGGGGCUAACUACUGGAAACGGUAGCUAAUACCGCAUACCAUCGGAUGUGCCCAGAUGGGAGUAGCUGGUUGGUGGGGGAAUGGCUCCCCUGGGCGACGAUCCCUAGCUGGUCUGAGAGGAUGACCAGCCACACUGGAACUGAGACACGGUGCAGACUCCUACGGGAGGCAGGAGUGGGGAAGAUUGCACAAUGGGCGAAAGCCUGAUGCAGCCAUGCCGCGUGGAUGAAGAAGGCCUUCGGGUUGUAAAGUACUUUCAGCGAGGAGGCGUUACUCGCAGAAGAAGCACCGGCUAACUCCGUGCCAGCAGCCGCGGUAAUAC
rnacentral:rRNA from 1 species